CUGAAACAGGCCGCAACUCCUGGUUUUAAGGCUUAUGCUAAGCAAGUGAAGGCCAAUGCAGUUGCUCUUGGUAACUACCUCAUGAACAAAGGAUACAAGCUUGUAACUGGUGGGACUGAGAACCACCUUGUCCUUUGGGAUCUUAGGCCUCUUGGUUUGACUGGUAAGAGUUCUUUUUAUUCUAAAUCAUCUCGGAGAAGUCUUCUAACCAUUUAAACAGUGAUUAUGCAAAUGAACCAUUUUGUUUUUUGCAGGUAACAAGGUUGAGAAGCUUUGUGACCUUGCCAACAUUACUGUUAACAAGAAUGCUGUUUUCGGUGACAGCAGUGCUUUGGCCCCAGGAGGUGUUCGUAUUGGUAAGUUUUAUGUUGAACUUCUAGUAAAUCUGAUUAGUUAAAAAGUGACUUGAAGCAUAUUGUAUGUUUCCUUUUCAAUAUCUUGAGCUUGAUAUCAAGGUCAGUGAGAAAUGUUUUCCUUCUGAGUAUAUGAUCGGGUUCCAUGUUCCAUAAAAUGUUGGAUUAUAAUGUAGACCUACUUCUUAGUGUGUCAAUAAGGUGAUUAGAAUAGGAAAAAAGAAAAGCUCAAAUGACAUGGAAUAAGACACUAAUAUGAAAGCCACCUUAAAUUUACUUUGGCACUUAUGUUUUUCUACUUGUACCGUCUUUAGUGCCUAUCCAAAAGCAGAAGCCAAGCCUUCGAAUUUCAGAGAGAAUCCGUAGUCUUGCCUUAGUUGAAACUUGAAAUCCCCCAGAACUCUUCUUCUUUCACAUAAUAUAAAAAAAGAAAAGAAGAAGAAUCUAUUUCAAUGCAUAAUCUAUUUAACUAAUUGAAGUUCCCAUUUGCAGGUACUCCUGCAAUGACAUCAAGGGGAUUGGUUGAGAAGGACUUCGAGCAGAUUGCCGAGUUCCUCCACAGGGCCGUUACCAUCACCUUGAACAUCCAGAAGGAGUACGGAAAGCUUUUGAAGGAUUUCAACAAGGGUCUUGUUAAUAACAAGGAAAUUGAAGAACUCAAGGCUGACGUCGAGAAAUUCUCAUCCUCUUUUGACAUGCCCGGCUUCAAGUUGUCCGAGAUGAAGUACAAGGACUAAAUUCACAGUGUGCAUCACAACUGUUAUCGCGUUUCUUGGUUUGUUUCUUUACUUUUGAUGGAAGAAAAAAAUUUCUCUACGAGUUAAACUCAAUUCAGAAGAAAAACAAAUAAUGGUUUUCCUCUUUAUUCUGCACUUGGUGCUGUAGGUUAUUGGAUUUUUGUCUUGCAAGGCAGUUCGUAACUGGCCUCUUCUUAAACUUUACCAAGAUUGUAAUGUCCAAAAUGAGUACCACGAAUGUAUGUUGUUUUCAUUUCUUGUAUCUUUAGUAAUGCAAGCAAUGCUCUGU
rnacentral:lncRNA from 1 species